rnacentral:rRNA from 1 species
UAGUCCAUGCCGUAAACGAUGGAUACUGGAUGUUCGGCAAUUAAGUCGAGUGUCUGAGCGAAAGCAUUAAGUAUCCCACCUGGGGAGUACGUUCGCAAGAAUGAAACUCAAAGGAAUUGACGGGGGCCCGCACAAGCGGUGGAGCAUGUGGUUUAAUUCGAUGGUACGCGAGGAACCUUACCUGGGCUAGAAUGUGCGUGACCGUCCCUGAAAGGGGAUUUUCUUCGGACACAAAACAAGGUGCUGCAUGGUUGUCGUCAGCUCGUGCCGUGAGGUGUUGGGUUAAGUCCCGCAACGAGCGCAACCCCUAUCAUUAGUUGCUAGCAGGUAAAGCUGAGGACUCUAGUGAGACUGCCUGCGCAAGCAGAGAGGAAGGUGGGGAUGACGUCAAAUCAUCAUGGCCCUUACGCCCAGGGCUACACACGUGCUACAAUGGACGGUACAAAGGGUUGCGAAGCCGCGAGGUGAAGCUAAUCCCAAAAAGCCGUUCUCAGUUCGGAUCGGAGU